rnacentral:SRP_RNA from 1 species
GCCGGGCAUGGUGGCAUAUGCCUGUAAUCCCAGCUACUGGGGAGGCUGAGGCAGGAGAAUUGCUUGAACCCAGGAGGCGGAGGUUGCAGUGAGCCUAGAUCAUGCCACUGCACUCCAGCCUGGGUGACAGAGCAAGACUCUGUCUCAA